CUCAACUUGUGUACCGUCUUAAGGCUGCCGCGGCCCUUGCUCGCUACGGUUAUAACGCUGCCGAGCAGCUCGAAGAAUGUUGCUGAGGAAUCAUAGACGGACGUGCUGCGAGUGACUGCCACGCAAAAGGACAUUAGAGAACUAGGCUCGAACCCAACGCCGCCGCCACGUACCUACAACGCCGCCACUCGUUCCCGUGACUCUUAGAAUUUCCUCCAGCCGUGUACACAUCCUUUAGCCCUCCUCCCGAGUCUCGUCUUUCUUCACGUUCGACGGGAAAAUUGAAAUGCGCACGGCCACCUCGCGGAAGGAGAUUUUUUUAUAUACCUUGGAAGGGAGCCAGCGGUUUGUGUACCUCGGCCAGCACGACUUUGCUCGCAGUUCAGUAAUUUCUUUGGUCAGACAUUUUACGUUCUUUAAGACUGCUCUGUGUAAUCGUCGUGGAAGAUCGAAAGAGUGAUUCGCGUGUUCGAGGAACAGCCGAAAGGAGACGAUGCGAAACGAGAAAUCUUUUCGUCGACACGCCUAGCUGCGGCCUUGCACGGGGCAUUGCGUGGUCCUUUCGAUAGCCGCGAUUAUUCUCGCGGGAAUAAUCGCUCCUAUCGUUUCAUCAGGGUCGCAUUGUGGCUCUGUUGGAUGAAACGAAUUCCAGCCGUUUCACGUUCCCCGUAAGCGAAAUGCGUCGCGUUCGAUCGCCUAGGCGUCUCUCUUUGAGAACGAGCCGAUGGGAAAGAAAACGAAACGACCGCGACGUUUCGCCUGCAGAGAAAAGAAAUAGCGUGCACUGAACAUGGGAUGGAAUCGAUCGUCGCUAGAAUGUGCGUUUUAAAGAUCGAAAGAUUGAGUCCGCUAUACCAUCCAACGAUUGUACCGAUUAUGAUCGAGGUUCGGUCGAAUGAUUUAUUAUAUUCGUCAAGUAGAAUGACGUGUUAUUUUAUUGAUCGAAUUAAAUAAGUAAAUUCGUUUGUAAAAAACCGAAGAAAUAUAAAAUACGUGAACAAUUUAAUCGACAAUUUAUUACAAUAUCAAAAGGUACGAGAAAAAAUUAAAAAAUAUGAAUUCAAACAUGUGAAAACGAUGUAAACUUCAAAAUAAGCUCUGCUAUACUAUAUCUGUACAUAAUCUUAUGCUAU
rnacentral:misc_RNA from 1 species